rnacentral:lncRNA from 1 species
UUAUUAUUAUUAUUAUUAUUAUCAUUAUUAUUAUUAUUAUUAUUAUUAUUUUUAUUAUUAUUAUUAUUAUUAAAAAUCAUUUUUUAAACAUAUUUUUUUUUUUUUGUUUCUGUUCAUUAUAAUUAGAUAGCACCACUUAUUCAAAAAGCACUUGUAAUAGAAGCCUCCCCUACCCCUCUACCACCGCAAAGGUCGACGAUAAAACCAUUUAAUUUUUUUUACGAAUUUUUUAUUACGCCGUACGGAAUGUUUUGAAAAACAAACGAGGCGACAAACACGUUAAUUUUAAAAAAUCGAUAAUAAUAAAAACAAACAAACAAAAGAAAUCGGUACAAAAGCUUGUUUUUUUUUUUUUCAUAGUUUUUUUUAUUUUUUUCUCGCCAUCACGUAAAACGCGACGGCAAAUCGUACGCCCACGUGUCAUCGCAAUGUAUUUAUACCGACGACGGAAUAAAUAACCGUGUUUACGAUUAUCAUAAUUUAUUUAUUCGAUCGCGAUAAAUUAAUUGUAAUUAUAAUUAAUUUAAUAUACCAGUGGAAAGUAACAGGAGUGUUCAUUAAUAUUAGGUAUUUUAUUUUUUUUUUAUUUGUAAAGAUUUUCGAAAAAAUCAGAUAAUUUUUUUUUUCUAUCAAACGUAUUUUCUCCUACAAUAUAUUGUGAUAAGUGCUGUUUAUUUUUUUUUUUAUUUUUUUUUUACACAUACAACUCGUUAAGACUUUAUUUUAGUGUAUUACAGGGCUAGAGAGUAUAGGCCGCGGGAAAAAAAGAUUUACAUUUGGUUAGGUUUUUUUCGCUCCGUGAAAAACACGUUUCUUUUGCCCAGCCGAGAAAAAAAAAAACCACAAAACGCGAAACGUCCCCGUAGAGAGCAUACAUUAUUAUUAUUAUUAUUUUUUUUUUUUAAGAGAGAAACGACUUUAUUGUUGUUUAUCGGGGAUUUCAUUUUUUUUUUUUUUUUUUAACUCUAGUCUCGAGUGCCAUCCUCGUUCGUAUUAUAAUUAAUAAUAAUAUACACAAAUAUACCUCCACCUCCUCCGAGCCCCCCUCCUCCUCCCCUCCCCGUUUGUAUUGUUACGGGAAAGGGGGGUAUUUUUUACGAUUUUUACAAACGACGCGCGCGAGCGAAAAAGAGAUAUUUUUUUACGAAACAAAAAAAAAAAACGAAACGAUUUUUUUCUUUUCUAAUUGGUCGUACACACAUAAUGUCGUUACGGGAUAUAAUAAAUUACUAAUACAUUCGGGUACAUAUGUUUUUAUGUAGCGGCUGCAUACAUAAUACAAUAUGUGCGUAUACCGUUGUAUGUUCACGAUAAUGAUAAAUAUAAUUUUUAACGUUUUUUUUUUUUUUUUUUUCUACGAUUUUGAAUACAUUAUAAAUACACCUAUAUUAUAUACAUAUACAUAUAUAUAUAUAUAUUUACGGAGGAAACAGUAAAAUUUAGUGAGACUAAUUUUGUAUUUUUUAGAUAAUAAAUAAAAAUAAAUGAAUACAAUUUAAGAAAAUAUCGCGAUUAUUUUUUUAAUGAUUAAGGCUGAACGUGAUUGUUAACCAAGUGCUGCAUAAUAUUAUGUAUUACCUAUUGUUUAAUGAUAGAAUAACGACGAAUAAAAAUAAAAAAAAAAAAAAAAAAAAAAAAAAAAAAAAAAAAAAAAAAAACCAUUUUGGGGGAAAAAAAAAAUUGCAAAACGUUUUCGAAUUUUUUUUUUUUUUUUUCUAGUAAUAUUCUAAGCCAUACUCUUUGUAUAUUUUACAUACAUACAUUAUAAUAUUAUAUAUAUUUACACCCU